GCUGGCGGCAGGCUUAACACAUGCAAGUCGAACGGGCGUAGCAAUACGUCAGUGGCAGACGGGUGAGUAACACGUGGGAACCUUCCUAGGGGUACGGAACAACUCAGGGAAACUUGAGCUAAUACCGUAUACGUCCGUAAGGAGAAAGAUUUAUCGCCCUUAGACGGGCCCGCGUCGGAUUAGCUAGUUGGUGGGGUAACGGCCUACCAAGGCGACGAUCCGUAGCUGAUCUGAGAGGAUGAUCAGCCACACUGGGACUGAGAUACGGCCCAGACUCCUACGGGAGGCAGCAGUGGGGAAUCUUGGACAAUGGGCGCAAGCCUGAUCCAGCCAUGCCGCGUGAGUGAAGAAGGCCUUAGGGUUGUAAAGCUCUUUUACCAGGGACGAUAAUGACGGUACCUGGAGAAUAAGCCCCGGCAAACUUCGUGCCAGCAGCCGCGGUAAUACGAAGGGGGCUAGCGUUGUUCGGAAUUACUGGGCGUAAAGCGCACGUAGGCGGGUCGUUAAGUCAGGGGUGAAAUCCCGGAGCUCAACUCCGGAACUGCCUUUGAUACUGGCGAUCUAGAGGUCGAGAGAGGUGAGUGGAAUUCCGAGUGUAGAGGUGAAAUUCGUAGAUAUUCGGAAGAACACCAGUGGCGAAGGCGGCUCACUGGCUCGAUACUGACGCUGAGGUGCGAAAGCGU
rnacentral:rRNA from 1 species